rnacentral:lncRNA from 1 species
UGCGCAUUUACUCCUACGUAUAUCAAUGGAAGUAGUGUUUCGUUCUCAGAUGCCACCAGAGCUACUUUACCUUGUGGUGUUAUUUAUUGUUACAAGUAAUAGAUGGACAGCACGGUUGUUAUACCUCCUGAUAAACAAUUACAGCGCUAUUUGGGCUCCCUAAGUAAGUGUAUGACUGGGUAUUUGGUUCAAAGGAUGUCCAGCUGUUUGUCCCGAUGCCGCACAAUCACGGCGUACGAAGCACAGGUUAUCACAUCUCAGCACACGGACAUGCAGAAAGCAUCCAGGCUGAUGCAGAUUGUCAUUAAAAAAGGUCAAAGUGCAUGCAGUUCGUUCCUCACAUGCCUUGGAAUUUGUGACCCGGUGUUGUAUGAGAAUGUUACUGGAUUCCCAGGUAGGACAAUCUAUCAAAAAUUAAUGAUAAAAAAAAAAAAAAAAGAUAUUUGCCACUGUCUGAAUUGUUUAUUCAUUACUCUAUUUCUUUCUGUUUCUUCUUUUCUUUCAUGCAUUUUCUAUCAUUCAGCACAAUUUAAUGAAGAGGACCAUCAACAUGUAGAGCAAAUUCCUCUCUCAGAAAAAUUGCAAUUUACACCUUGUAUUAUAAACAUACAAAACUCUUCCCUGACCAACUGUAUUAUUGGGAACAACAAUCGCCAAUGCAUUACCUGUGAACAGCAUUCUUUGCUCGCUCAGAAUGAUGCAAGCAAUGUGAAUGAAAUGCCGGAUAUUCAGAGCAGUGAUCAACUGAUCCCAGUGCAGGACACAAUAAGUAUCAACAGCAUUCAAAUGGAGAGAUCCGACAUAGAGUAUGUUAUUAUAGGCGACCAUAACAGUAUGACAGUCAUUGAGAACUCGGAGGUUGAGGAGGAUACGGAGAUUGAGCCAGAAGUGAUUGGUUAAUAGAUGUGAAAAAGCCGGACAGGAGGGCAGACUGGCAGAUUUGGAGAGCUGCAGAUUGUCAACUCGCCUUACCGGGCCUGACCUAUAAUUGGACACUGAAAGCAUAAUAUAUGCUUUAAACUGAUCAGUGCUUAGGUCCUCAGCAGGUGCUGCCAAAUGCACUGAAACAUUAUCCUUUAUCGUGGAUUUUUCUAAACCUGUGUGCCUUGAGGUGGUAAUGAUAUUUGAUACUGCCUUGAUUGUUACUGAACAUGACUGCUACUGACUGUUUUAAUGGGUACACCAAUAUUUAUUUGUUCAACAGAAAUGUAUGAAAUAAAAUACGUUGACUGGCACUGCA